UACAGAGGGUGCUAGCGUUGUUCGGAAUUACUGGGCGUAAAGCGCGUGUAGGCUGCUUCGCAAGUCGGAUGUGAAAGCCCUGGGCUCAACCCAGGAAGUGCAUUCGAAACUGCAGAGCUGGAGUCCUGGAGAGGAAGGCGGAAUUCUCGGUGUAGAGGUGAAAUUCGUAGAUAUCGAGAGGAACACCGGUGGCGAAGGCGGCCUUCUGGACAGUGACUGACGCUGAGACGCGAAAGCGUGGGGAGCAAACAGG
rnacentral:rRNA from 1 species